rnacentral:rRNA from 1 species
UAUGCGGCUGCUACCAUGCAAGUCGAACGUGAUCCGCCCUUCGGGGUGGUGAAAGUGGCGCACGGGUGAGUAACGCGUGGAUAAUCUGCCCGAGGAUUUGGGAUAACAUCUCGAAAGGGGUGCUAAUACCGAAUAAGCCCACGGGGUCUACGGAUCUUGCGGGAAAAGGGGGGGACCUUCGGGCCUCCUGUCCUUGGAUGAGUCUGCGUACCAUUAGCUAGUUGGUGGGGUAAUGGCCUACCAAGGCGACGAUGGUUAGCUGGUCUGAGAGGAUGAUCAGCCACACUGGAACUGAGACACGGUCCAGACUCCUACGGGAGGCAGCAGUGGGGAAUUUUGCGCAAUGGGGGAAACCCUGACGCAGCAACGCCGCGUGGGUGAUGAAGGCCUUCGGGUCGUAAAGCUCUGUCUGGAGGGAAGAAAUGAUUGGGAGCUAAUACCUCUUGAUCUUGACGGUACCUCUGAAGGAAGCACCGGCUAACUCCGUGCCAGCAGCCGCGGUAAUACGGAGGGUGCAAGCGUUGUUCGGAAUUAUUGGGCGUAAAGCGCGUGUAGGCGGUCUUUUAAGUCUGAUGUGAAAGCCCCGGGCUCAACCUGGGAAGUGCAUUGGAAACUGGGAGGCUUGAGUACGGGAGAGGAGAGUGGAAUUCCUAGUGUAGGAGUGAAAUCCGUAGAUAUUAGGAGGAACACCGGUGGCGAAGGCGGCUCUCUGGACCGAUACUGACGCUGAGACGCGAAAGCGUGGGUAGCAAACACGAUUAGAUACCCUGGUAGUCCACGCCGUAACGAUGAGUACUAGUGUUGCGGGUAUUGACCCCUG